AGUGAACGCUGGCGGUAGGCCUAACACAUGCCAGUCGAACGGCAGCACAGUAAGAGCUUGCUCUUACGGGUGGCGAGUGGCGGACGGGUGAGGAAUACAUCGGAAUCUACUUUUUCGUGGGGGAUAACGUAGGGAAACUUACGCUAAUACCGCAUACGACCUACGGGUGAAAGCAGGGGAUCUUCGGACCUUGCGCGAUUGAAUGAGCCGAUGUCGGAUUAGCUAGUUGGCGGGGUAAAGGCCCACCAAGGCGACGAUCCGUAGCUGGUCUGAGAGGAUGAUCAGCCACACUGGAACUGAGACACGGUCCAGACUCCUACGGGAGGCAGCAGUGGGGAAUAUUGGACAAUGGGCGCAAGCCUGAUCCAGCCAUACCGCGUGGGUGAAGAAGGCCUUCGGGUUUUAAAGCCCUUUUGUUGGGAAAGAAAAGCAGCAGGUUAAUACCCCGCUGUUCUGACGGUACCCAAAGAAUAAGCACCGGCUAACUUCGUG
rnacentral:rRNA from 1 species